rnacentral:lncRNA from 1 species
CGCCUGUACGGAGCCCGGAGCUCCGCACCACAGGCCUCCCGGUGUCGCGCCUCGCCCUGUUGUCUGCCCCGGAGUGGGCACACGUGUCCUUCCCACCCCGCCGUUCGACCGCGCCCGAGCCGGGCCUCAGGGCACGCGGAGCUCGUGGGUGAGCGCGGGGCUGAGGGGGCGGGGCGCGCGCGUUAUAUUUGGCGCCCGCAGCAGCGCGUGUGCCUGGGCGAGUUUUCCUUCCGCAGGCGCUGGCAGCCGGGGCGCCGCGGCCCAAGCUGACUCCUCUCUCUCCCUCUCCGACCCCGGCAGGGCCCAGAGGUGAUUCUGCCUGCACGAUGUCCUCCUUCCUGGAGACCAGCUCUUCGCAGGCGCCAGGUCGCGAACAAAAAGAGAAAGAAAAAAAGAAAA